UGGGGAAUUUUGGACAAUGGGGGCAACCCUGAUCCAGCAAUGCCGCGUGUGUGAAGAAGGCCUUCGGGUUGUAAAGCACUUUUGUCCGGGAAGAAAUCGCACCUGAUAAUACCGGGUGUGGAUGACGGUACCGGAAGAAUAAGGACCGGCUAACUACGUGCCAGCAGCCGCGGUAAUACGUAGGGUCCAAGCGUUAAUCGGAAUUACUGGGCGUAAAGCGUGCGCAGGCGGUUGUGCAAGACCGAUGUGAAAUCCCCGGGCUUAACCUGGGAAUUGCAUUGGUGACUGGACGGCUAGAGGGUGUCAGAGGGGGGUAGAAUUCCACGUGUAGCAGUGAAAUGCGUAGAGAUGUGGAGGAAUACCGAUGGCGAAGGCAGCCCCCUGGGAUAACACUGACGCUCAUGCACGAAAGCGUGGGGAGCAAACAGG
rnacentral:rRNA from 1 species